CGUUUACAAAAGUCAUUUAUUUCUCGAAAAUAUAAACGUACAAAGGAGUUAAAUACACAAAGCUGAUGACAAACAAGGAGAAAGAAAGACAGAGAGAGAGAGAGAGAGAGAGAGAGAGAGAGAGAGAGAGAGAGAGAGAGAGAGAAACUGCAGCACAGGUCAUGAGAUCACUGGUCCAGUUUCCACCCACGGCCAGAACACAAAAGCACUCAGCACCAUCCAGGCUGCAAUAACACGGCGGAAGCAGAGCUGUGAACUAGCGUUACAUAACCAACACAUUCUCCACACUAAAACACCUACGGCUUCCUAGAAAUCACACAGGAACACACACAUGCUGUACAACGCACAGCAUAAACAAAAACAACCCGCCGAGCCAUUAUUAGUGUUUCUCUGACUGCUGAACUGCUCCGUGCUUCAGAGUUUCCACCCGAAAUGUCUGGUAUAGUGCUGUGCAAAGCAAAAGUUUUGGCUCCCUCCGUUUAUCGUCAGUCUAGUGACUUAAUAGAUUCUGUAAAACUGUAGUCAGACUCGCAAACUUUAACAAACCCGGAUAACAGCGUUUGUGGGUUGUAAUUGAUGCUUUCGUUUGAAUUUUUUUUGUUUUCAUAGCAACGACAUAGACAAGGACUUUGUCGUCGAGACGUCGAGAACAUUUCCGUCCUGGUUGGAAGGAAACUCUGCUGUUAACUGAAACCUUACGUUUUCUUCUUUUUAGGAUAGAAACCUCUUUAGGCUUUGGGUGUGAGGAGACUAGAUUUUGGAUCGCUCAUACAUGACAGUAGAAAUCUUGAACUAGGGGACCCAAAUCAGUUCCAGCAUGACAACGCACAAAGCCAGAUCCAAGAAGAUCUGCUUUACAUGGAUUGGAGUUGAAAAUCUGAACGCUGACUGCACCCCAGGCCUCCUUACCUACGUCAAUACCUGACUUUACUGAACAUUCUUAUAUCUUGAAAGAGCACAACACCUCCACAAAAUCUAAUGGAACAUCUUCCCAAAAGAGUGGAGCUUAUUAUAACAGCACAUUGAGACCACACUAGCACUUGGUGUCCACAAACUUUUGGUAUUAAUUGCACACUAAACGUGCUCUAAAGAUUGAUGGCACAUUUGUGAAUAAUUAGGCUCAACCAUAAAACAGCACCCCUGGACCACAGAGGCUUAAGGAGCCCUUACUUGAUAGGACUGGAGCUUAAACCCAUGACCUUUUAAUCACUACAACAACUACCAUGUGAAGGACCGGCUGUUUCUGAUAAGAUCGGAUGACCAGUUAUAGUCCGAAUCAAUUGGAAACCAUUUUGUGCAGCUGGGGAUGGUUCCACCCUCAACAGCCUGAAGAUCAACAACUCUCGCAACUCUAACCCUAGAUUCUCAGCAACUCAAAAACUUUGAGGAUGGAUUUGCACUGGAAUUAACAUCAACAGUCUGGGCUCAGAACCACAGUUUGUAUGAACAGUUCUGUAUUUCAGCACCUAUCAUUGAACAGCACCUCAACACUGAAGGAACUGUAAUGAAUGGAUAUUCAGUGAUGAGGAUGAGGAUCACUUUUGAGUCUGGUUCCUCUCAUGGCUCUCUCAUGAGAGCUAAACUUAUAAGGAACAAACAGACUUGUGUUUCAUCCUUAACGCUCUGCAAUUUUCACGUGUUUCAGAAGUGUCGUAAACCCUGUAACGAAAUCCAAGACACCGUUUUUAUAAGUCUCGAUUCUGAACCUGUGCACCACCGCAUGGAAACGUUCUGUAUUCGGUUUCUCUGGCGCUUCCUUCGUGAAUCGAUAACUUCC